GUUUUCUCCGGGUGAGCAGGUAAGGCACCAACAAAGUCAGACCUCAAAAGAGAAGAAGAUGAGAGAGACAGCAGCUAAGCAAAGGGAGGAAACUGAAAUCUCAGUGUCUCAGGAGGGAAUGGAUGAAGACAUUACUGAAGAUCUAAUCUCUCUCUCUGGGCUCACCUCCAUCGUCAGAUAUCCAGUAGACGUCGAUGGUCUUCUUCCCCUGGCUAUUCUGAAACACUGUCUUGAUCUGAUUGCUGUCGCCGUUUUCAGAGAUGUCAUCAGCUAUAACAGCAAGAGAGGGAGGAGUGAAGGAUGGGACAAUAAUUAUAUUUACUCUAAGUCAUAUUAGGAGCAACAAUGAACUAUGAGGUGUCCCAAUAUGUGUGUAUACAGUAAGUGCUCACCUGACUCUCUCUCAGGAGAUUGCUGGUCCUCAUUUUCAACAGAUUCAUCAGGUUCAAAGCCCUGGUUCACUGAAGGACAGGAAUCACAUCCUCAUUCAUUGUUAUUUAUUUACUCUUUUCUAUUUUGUUUUUACAAAUAUGUCCUGUUGUAGGAAAGGAUACAGAAAAAUUGUAAAGGAAGUGUGGAGUCUGGAUUUCUAACCUUCGAAUUCAGUCUGUUCGGAGAUAUCCAGCCCGUCCAUCAUCCUCAGGAUACACAAACAGUAGUUGGAGUCGAAGGAAAACUCUCCCUCCAGUUUGUCUUGAAGCCGAGGACCAGAGUGUUGGGCUUCAGCUUGCCGAGACCAGAAGCCUUGAACAAAUAUCAAAUGUGUACCAUAAGUAUAUUUCAAGUCAGAAAAUAAAAGAAUGAAAAGAAAAAUCAUGUCAAAAAUGUAGAGCACUUUUACUGUUGUACCUGCAG